rnacentral:rRNA from 1 species
CUGAUUUUUAUAUUAAAUGGCCGCAGUAUAUUAACUGUGCAAAGGUAGCAUAAUCAUUAGUCCUUUAAUUGGGGGCUUGUAUGAAUGAUUGGACGAGGCAAAAUCUGUCUCAUUAAAAUUUUUGUUGAAUUUUAUUUUUUAGUAAAAAAGCUAAAAUUUUAUAAGAAGACGAGAAGACCCUAUAGAUCUUUAUAUAUAAGUGGUUAUUUUUAUUAAGGGUUUUUUUAUAUUUUGGUCUACUUAUUUAUUUUGUUGGGGUGACAUUGGAAUUUAAGAAACUUUCAAUUAUUUUAUAACAUUGAUUUAUGAAUCAUUGAUCCUUUAUUAUUGUUUAAAAAUUUAAGUUACCUUAGGGAUAACAGCGUAAUUAUUUUGGAGAGUUCUUAUCGAUAAAAUAGAUUGCGACCUCGAUGUUGGAUUAAGAAUAAUCCUGGGUGUAGGUGUUCAGGGUGU